GCUUAACGACUGAGCCACCCAGGUGCCCCUAAAAGGAAGGUUUUGAAGAUUGGAAGAAACUGUUGAAGGGGCAGCCUCAUUCUUGAGGGUCUCUGGAGAGGUAAAAAGAGUUCCUGCUUACCUGUGAGAUAUUUCUGCAACGUAUUUUGCAGCCUUUUCCAUUCAUUUGUUGAGCUCACAAAAUCCCUGCUUAAAAUAUGACAUUGGUGAAAGCUAUGAAGAAAACAGCUAUUGUUCAGACUGGAAAUGUCUGUGGCCAAGAAUAGCAAUGAUUUCUCUGGUGCCAUUUCUAUCAUCAGUAUCUUUAUUCCUGGCAAUUCAACAUCAGCAUUUGGAGAUUUUAUUGAACAAAGGAAAAUUGAAUUAAUGAGCCAACAAAAAUGAUCAACAUCAAAGACUGGAUAUCAUUGGAAAAAACAAGCAAAAGAAUGAAUGUGUUCAAUGAUGUUAGUGCAUGGCAUGACUAUUCUAAAGGAUGUCACCUAUCAACCUUUUGAAUGAAUAAACAAAACAUAGGUUAAGA